UACGAAGGGGGCUGGCGUUGCUCGGAAUGACUGGGCGUAAAGGGCGCGUAGGCGGAUGGCACAGUCAGAUGUGAAAUUCCCGGGCUUAACCUGGGGGCUGCAUUUGAUACGUGUUGUCUUGAGUUCGGAAGAGGGUCGUGGAAUUCCCAGUGUAGAGGUGAAAUUCGUAGAUAUUGGGAAGAACACCGGUGGCGAAGGCGGCGACCUGGUCCGACACUGACGCUGAGGCGCGAAAGCGUGGGGAGCAAACAGG
rnacentral:rRNA from 1 species